rnacentral:piRNA from 1 species
UGAAAUUGAGGGUUCUAAAUGACCAAGCU